rnacentral:rRNA from 1 species
ACCACAGAAGGUAAUAGUCCUGUAUGUUAAACGAGAAGACUUUAGAUAUGAUCCAGAGUACCACGGGACACGUGAAACCCUGUGGGAAGCAGGAGGGACCACCCUCCAAGGCUAAAUACUACCUAGUGACCGAUAGCGUAUAGUACCGUGAGGGAAAGGUGAAAAGAACCCCGGGAGGGGAGUGAAAUAGAACCUGAAACCCUGCACUUACAAGCUGUGGAAGCACAUUUCUUGUGUGACCGCGUACUUUUUGUAGAACGGGCCAACGAGUUACGUUAAGUAGCAAGGUUAAGCACUUAAGGUGUGGAGCCGUAGCGAAAGCGAGUUUUAACUGAGCGUUCAGUUACUUGACGUAGACCCGAAACCGGGCGACCUACCCAUGAGCAGGAUGAAGCGAAAGUAAAAUUUCGUGGAGGUCCGAACCCACGAGCGUUGAAAAGCUCGGGGAUGACUUGUGGGUAGCGGUGAAAUUCCAAUCGAGCCCGGAGAUAGCUGGUUCUCCCCGAAAUAGCUUUAGGGCUAGCCUCAAGGUGAGAGAUACGGAGGUAGAGCACUGAAUGUCCUAGGGGGUAUUGCACCUACCGAAGACUAUCAAACUCCGAAUGCCGUCAUCUUAUACUUGGGAGUCAGACUGUGGGUGAUAAGAUUCAUAGUCGAAAGGGCAACAGCCCAGAUCGUCAGCUAAGGUCCCUAAAUGUAAGUUAAGUGGUAAAGGAUGUGGGAUUGCACAGACAACCAGGAUGUUGGCUUAGAAGCAGCCACUCAUUCAAAGAGUGCGUAAUAGCUCACUGGUCGAGUGAUCCUGCGCCGAAGAUUUCCGGGGCUAAAACUUACUACCGAAGCUACGGCAUCAUUAUGAUGGGUAGGGGAGCUUCCCAUACGGGUUGAAGCAUGACCGUAAGGACAUGUGGACAGUAUGGGAGUGAGAAUGUUGGCAUGAGUAGCGAGAUGUGGGUGAGAAUCCCACAGGCCGUAAACCCAAGGUUUCCAGGGGAAGGUUCGUCCGCCCUGGGUUAGUCGGGACCUAAGCUGAGGCCGAAAGGCGUAGGUGAUGGACAACAGGUUGAUAUUCCUGUACUACCGAUAACCGUUUGAGAGAUGGGAUGACACAGUAGGAUAAGCUAAGCACACUGUUGGUUAUGUGUGCCCAAGCAUUGAGGCAGUCAAAGUAGGCAAAUCCGCUUUGAUAAUGCUGGGAUGUGAUGGGUAGCGAAAUUUAGUAGCGAAGUAGCUGAUUUCACACUGUCAAGAAAAGUCUCUAUCGAGGUUAAAGGUACCCGUACCGCAAACCGACACAGGUGGGUGAGGAGAGUAUCCUAAGGCCAGCGAGAGAACUGUUGUUAAGGAACUCGGCAAAAUGACCCCGUAACUUAGGGAUAAGGGGUGCCACCAUCAGGUGGCCGCAGAGAAUAGGCCCAAGCGACUGUUUACCAAAAACAUAGGUUUCUGCUAAGUCGCAAGACGAUGUAUAGGAGCUGACGCCUGCCCGGUGCUGGAAGGUUAAGGGGAUCUGUUAGAG